rnacentral:ncRNA from 2 species
UUAAAUAAAAUCUUCCGAGUCUUAUAUACCUAAGGGAUUUCCUAUGGCAUAAGACCAAUGGGUACAUGUAGAAAUGUAUGUGCCUCCCGAAUUGGAAAGGAAUGUGUUUGAGAUGAUU